rnacentral:rRNA from 1 species
GACGUAGGGCGCAAGCGUUGUCCGGAUUUAUUGGGCGUAAAGAGCUCGUAGGCGGCCUGUCGCGUCGACCGUGAAAACCCGCAGCUCAACUGCGGGCUUGCGGUCGAUACGGGCAGGCUGGAGUUCGGUAGGGGAGACUGGAAUUCCUGGUGUAGCGGUGAAAUGCGUAGAUAUCGCUUGGAACGCCGAAGGUGAAAACAGGCUGCUGGGGUUGCGCCGACGCUGAGACACGAAAGCCAGGGGAGCAAACGGG